rnacentral:rRNA from 1 species
UACGUAGGGGGCAAGCGUUGUCCGGAAUCAUUGGGCGUAAAGCGCGCGUAGGUGGCCCGGUAAGUCCGCUCUGAAAGUCAAAGGCUCAACCUUUGAAAGCGGGUGGAUACUGCCGGGCUAGAGUCCGGAAGAGGCGAGUGGAAUUCCUGGUGUAGCGGUGGAAUGCGCAGAUAUCAGGAGGAACACCAACGGCGAAGGCAGCUCGCUGGGACGGUACUGACACUGAGGCGCGAAAGCGUGGGGAGCGAACAGG